AUUGGGGUGGCAGAGCAUGGUGAAUUGCGAAAGGUCUAAGCCCUUUUACCCAGAGGUUCAAAUCCUCUCCCCAGUU
rnacentral:tRNA from 1 species